GAGUUUGAUCUUGGCUCAGAUUGAACGCUGGCGGCAGGCCUAACACAUGCAAGUUGGGCGGUAGAGAGAAGCUUGCUUCUCUUGAGAGCGGCGGACGGGUGAGUAAUGCCUAGGAAUCUGCCUGGUAGUGGGGGAUAACGCUCGGAAACGGACGCUAAUACCGCAUACGUCCUACGGGAGAAAGCAGGGGACCUUCGGGCCUUGCGCUAUCAGAUGAGCCUAGGUCGGAUUAGCUAGUUGGUGAGGUAAUGGCUCACCAAGGCGACGAUCCGUAACUGGUCUGAGAGGAUGAUCAGUCACACUGGAACUGAGACACGGUCCAGACUCCUACGGGAGGCAGCAGUGGGGAAUAUUGGACAAUGGGCGAAAGCCUGAUCCAGCCAUGCCGCGUGUGUGAAGAAGGUCUUCGGAUUGUAAAGCACUUUAAGUUGGGAGGAAGGGCAGUAAAUUAAUACUUUGCUGUUUUGACGUUACCGACAGAAUAAGCACCGGCUAACUCUGUGCCAGCCGCCG
rnacentral:rRNA from 1 species